rnacentral:tRNA from 1 species
GUUCGACCCCCUCCUCUACUA